rnacentral:rRNA from 1 species
GACGUAGGGCGCGAGCGUUGUCCGGAUUUAUUGGGCGUAAAGAGCUCGUAGGCGGCUUGUCGCGUCGACUGUGAAAACCCGCAGCUCAACUGUGGGCUUGCAGCCGAUACGGGCAGGCUAGAGUUCGGUAGGGGAGACUGGAAUUCCUGGUGUAGCGGUGAAAUGCGCAGAUAUCAGGAGGAACACCGGUGGCGAAGGCGGGUCUCUGGGCCGAUACUGACACUGAGGGACGAAAGCUAGGGGAGCGAGUGGG